rnacentral:rRNA from 1 species
GUGGAUUAGAUACCCUGGUAGUCCUGGCAGUAAACGGUGUGCGCUUGGUGUGAGGGGAAUCGACCCCCCUUGUGCCGGAGCUAACGCGUUAAGCGCACCGCCUGGGAAGUACGGUCGCAAGACUAAAACUCAAAGAAAUUGACGGGGACCCGCACAAGCGGUGGAGUAUGUGGCUUAAUUCGAUGCAACGCGAAGAACCUUACCAAGGCUUGACAUGGAUUUCUAAGCACGUGAAAGCGUGUGACCCUUCGGGGAACUUCCACAGGUGCUGCAUGUCCGUCGUCAACU